rnacentral:sRNA from 1 species
CCGCAGACCACAGUGAGCUGCAGGGCAAGGCCCGGCUGCGGGCCCGGGACGUGGUGCGUGUUCUCAUCUGUAUUGAGUCCCUGUGCCAGCGCCACACGUGAGUGACCUCAGCCCCCGCUCCAGGCGGCAGCCCCCGGACCACCCUUGGAGGGGGCUCACAGGCCACAGGGGUCUCUGGGCACUGGGGGUGGGUCUUGGCCCCCUGGACCUGCAGCGCCUCCCUCUUGCCCUGUGGGGCUGUGUUCAGGUCCCUGGAGGCCAUCUCAGGCCUGGAGAGCAACAGCAGGGUCUUCACAGUGCAGGUGCAGGCUGGACAAUACGCUUCUGUGUUUGUGGCCAACGGCUCCGGGGCCUUCCUCACCAUCCAGGUGGGCUCCAGCUUCUCCGGGCUGCUCCUGGGCACGUGAGGGCGCCGAGGGGGGCUGGCGAGGAGCUGCCGCCGGAUCCCGGGGACCCUCCCACUGAUGCCCGUGGUCAUGACAAUAAAGAGCCCUCCACCCUCCCCA